UUUUUUUUUUUUUUUUUUUUUUUUUUUUUUUUUUUUUUUUUCCUCACAGCUGC
rnacentral:ribozyme from 1 species